rnacentral:rRNA from 1 species
ACUUUAUUUGAUUUCCUUCGGGACUGAUUAUUUUGUGACUGAGUGGCGGACGGGUGAGUAACGCGUGGGUAACCUGCCUUGUACAGGGGGAUAACAGCCAGAAAUGGCUGCUAAUACCGCAUAAGCGCACAGAACCGCAUGGUUCGGUGUGAAAAACUCCGGUGGUAUAAGAUGGACCCGCGUUGGAUUAGCUAGUUGGUGAGGUAACGGCCCACCAAGGCGACGAUCCAUAGCCGACCUGAGAGGGUGACCGGCCACAUUGGGACUGAGACACGGCCCAAACUCC